AGCGAACGCUAGCGGUGCGCCUAACACAUGCAAGUCGAGCGAGAAAGUGGGGGCAACUCCAUGAGUAGAGCGGCGAACGGGUGAGUAACGCGUGGGUAAUCUACCUAUAAGACUGGAAUAACCUUCCGAAAGGAGGGCUAAUACCGGAUAAGACCACGGAAUAUUUUUCAGUGGUUGAAGAUGGGGAUUCUUCGGAAUCUAUCGCUUAUGGAUGAGCCCGCGUCCCAUCAGCUAGUUGGUAGGGUAAUGGCCUACCAAGGCUAAGACGGGUAGCUGGUCUGAGAGGACGAUCAGCCACACUGGCACUGAAACACGGGCCAGACUCCUACGGGAGGCAGCAGUGGGGAAUCUUGCGCAAUGGGCGAAAGCCUGACGCAGCGACACCGCGUGAGGGAAGAAGGCCUUCGGGUUGUAAACCUCUGUCGGGGGGGAAGAAAGUUUUGGUGGCUAAUAUCCAUCAAAAUUGACGGUACCCCCAAAGGAAGCAUCGGCUAACUACGUGCCAGCAGCCGCGGUAA
rnacentral:rRNA from 1 species